rfam:TPA: Bos taurus chromosome 10, whole genome shotgun sequence.
UCCCUGGUGGUCCAGUGGCUAAAACUUCAUGCUCCCAAUGCAGGGGUGCAGGUUCAAUUCCUGUCCAGGGAA